CAGGACGAACGCUGGCGGCGUGCCUAACACAUGCAAGUCAAGGCGUAGCUUCGGCUACGACUGGCGCACGGGUGAGUAACGCGUAGGUAACCUACCCCUACCCCUGACAUAACACCGAGAAAUCGGUGCUAAUAUCAGAUGAGGAACCGAAAGGUUUCAAAGGGGCAACCCGGGUAGGGAUGGGCCUGCGUCCGAUUAGGUAGUUGGUAGGGUAAUGGCCUACCAAGCCGACGAUCGGUAGCUGGCCUGAGAGGGUGGUCAGCCACACUGGGACUGAGACACGGCCCAGACUCCUACGGGAGGCAGCAGUGAGGAAUAUUGGGCAAUGGGCGAAAGCCUGACCCAGCGACGCCGCGUGUGGGAUGACGGAGCUCUGCUUCGUAAACCACUGUCGGAGGGGAAGAAAAGCGGGGACGCCCCGCUGGGACUGUACCCUCAGAGGAAGGAUCGGCUAACUACGUGCCAGCAGCCGCGGUAA
rnacentral:rRNA from 1 species